AGUUAUGUGAAUGUGCUUUCUCUCUCCAAAUUAGCUUAUUGUACAGUACUCACCCUUCUUCUUGUGAUGCUGUGAGAUCAUAAAACGUCCACAUGAUGGGAUGAAGUGAGGAGAAUGACGGAGGCCUGGACAUAGCCUUAGGCUCCUGCUGAUAGAGGAGCACCUGCUUCUGGACCAUAGUGGGCCGCAGAAUUAACCUCGUUUACCCAAUACGCGAAGACUCCCUACCUGCAGGGUAAAAACCUGCCCUGGAAGUUUACUGUGAAGAGAGGAGGAGAGGAGCACAGCUUGGACUUUCUCUGAAGCAGGCAGUUCUCAGAAGGAUCUGAGUCAUGGCACAUGCCCAUUUUAUUCUCCCCAAUUUGCCAAUUCCCUGAGUCACUCAUCCUCAGGGAGGUAGAGAGCAACAAAGCAAGUGACUCUGGUCUUCCUGAGAUUUGGAUCCUGGUUUCCAGUGCUAAGAGCGUGAAGUUAUGAAGGUGGAAGAAGAGAAGGCUGGGGUUGGGAAGCUGGAUCCUGCUAACUACAGGAGGAGAUGUCAGGAUCCAGAAGACUGCCGUUCUAUCCACAUUGGGCUUUCAGUCCCCAGUUACCCUCAAAGGAAAAGAGACCAGCAGGGACGACUUUCAGGCCUUCAAAAGGUCUGCUGGGGUUUGCAGCCAGACAAGCCACAGCAGGAACUGCCUGGAGUGGGGAGAAGGGGAAGCAGCCGCGACAGCCAUGUGGAUCACGUCAGCAGGAUCCGGUCUCCAGCUGCUGAGCAGCUCCAGGACAUCCUGGGGGAGGAAGAUGAGGCUCCCAACCCCACCCUCUUCACAGAAAUGGACACUCUGCAGCACGACGGAGACCAGAUGGAGUGGAAGGAGUCAGCCAGGUGGAUAAAGUUUGAAGAAAAGGUAGAGGAAGGAGGCGAACGCUGGAGCAAGCCCCAUGUGUCCACACUGUCUCUGCACAGCCUCUUCGAGCUGCGGACAUGCUUGCAGACGGGAACGGUGCUGCUGGAUUUGGAUGGUGGCUCCUUACCACAGAUCAUAGAUGAUGUCAUCGAGAAGCAAAUUGAGGACGGCCUUCUGCGGCCUGAGCUCCGGGAGAGGGUCAGCUAUGUCCUCCUGAGAAAACACCGUCACCAAACCAAGAAGCCCAUCCACCGCUCCUUGGUUGACAUUGGAAAAUCCGUCUCCUCCACCACCAAUCGCAGCCCGGCCCGCAGCCCAGCUGCUGGCCCCAGCCUCCACCACUCCACUGAGGACCUGAGGAUGCGACAAAAUGCCAGUUAUGGCCGGCUGUGUCACGCCCAGAGCAGAAGCAUGAGUGACAUUUCUCGCACCCCAAACACAGACCAGCGGAAAAACAAGUUUAUGAAGAAGAUCCCCAAGGACUCAGAAGCCUCCAAUGUGCUUGUCGGUGAGGUGGACUUCCUUGACCAGCCAUUCAUCGCCUUCGUGCGUCUCAUCCAGUCGGCCAUGUUGGGAGGAGUGACCGAGGUGCCUGUCCCCACCAGAUUUCUGUUCAUACUGCUUGGACCUUCUGGGAGAGCAAAAUCCUACAAUGAAAUUGGCCGUGCCAUUGCAACCCUCAUGGUAGAUGAUCUCUUCAGUGAUGUGGCCUAUAAAGCCAGGAAUCGGGAAGAUCUGAUAGCAGGAAUUGAUGAGUUUCUGGAUGAGGUCAUUGUCCUUCCCCCUGGAGAAUGGGACCCAAAUAUCCGGAUUGAGCCUCCCAAGAAAGUGCCCUCUGCUGAUAAGAGGAAAUCCGUGUUUUCGCUGAUGGAGCUCAGACAGAUGAACGGCUCUGCAGGGGGAGGCAGCGGAGCAGCUGCAGGAGGCAGCGCCGGUGGCGGCGGCAGUGGUGGCGGGGCUGGCGGAGGGAGCAGCGGGGAUGAAGGAGAGAUGCCAGCCAUGCACGAAAUCGGGGAAGAACUUAUCUGGACCGGAAGGUUCUUCGGUGGCCUGCGUCUGGAUAUCAAGAGGAAGCUGCCCUGGUUCCCGAGUGACUUCUAUGACGGUUUUCACAUUCAGUCCAUCUCUGCCAUCCUGUUCAUCUACCUCGGCUGUAUCACCAACGCAAUCACCUUUGGUGGGCUUCUGGGGGAUGCCACUGACAAUUAUCAGGGAGUGAUGGAGAGCUUCCUGGGCACUGCUAUGGCCGGCUCCUUGUUCUGCCUCUUCUCGGGACAGCCUCUCAUCAUCCUCAGCAGCACAGGGCCCAUCCUCAUCUUUGAGAAGCUCCUCUUUGACUUCAGCAAAGGCAAUGGCCUGGACUACAUGGAGUUCCGCCUCUGGAUUGGUCUCCACUCAGCCAUCCAGUGCCUUAUCCUGGUGGCCACAGAUGCCAGCUUUAUCAUUAAGUAUAUCACCCGCUUCACCGAAGAGGGCUUCUCCACCCUCAUCAGCUUCAUUUUCAUCUAUGAUGCCAUCAAGAAGAUGAUUGGUGCCUUCAAGUACUAUCCCAUCAACAUGGACUUUAAGCCUGACUCCAUCACCACCUACAAAUGCGAGUGUGUUGCCCCCGACACAGCGAAUACAACCGUGUUCAAUGCUUCAGCCCUGCUGGCACCAAACACCAACACUUCUCUGUACAACCCCCUUAACCUCACAGCACUGGACUGGUCUCUGCUGAGCAAGAAGGAGUGUCUGAACUAUGGUGGGCAGCUGCUUGGGAAUUCCUGCCAAUUCAUCCCAGACCUGGCACUCAUGUCCUUCAUCCUUUUCUUUGGGACGUACUCCAUGACCUUGACCCUGAAGAAGUUCAAAUUCAGCCGCUAUUUCCCUACCAAGGUCCGGGCCCUGGUAGCCGACUUUUCCAUUAUCUUCUCCAUCCUGCUGUUCUGCGGAAUUGAUGCCUGUUUCGGCCUGGCAACCCCUAAGUUGCACGUGCCCAGUGUCAUCAAGCCCACUCGGCCUGACCGAGGCUGGUUCGUGGCUCCCUUCGGGAAGAACCCAUGGUGGGUAUACCUGGCGAGCAUCCUGCCCGCCCUGCUGGUGACCAUCCUGAUCUUCAUGGACCAGCAGAUCACCGCUGUCAUAGUCAACCGGAAGGAGAACAAGCUGAGGAAGGCUGCUGGCUACCAUCUGGACCUGUUCUGGGUGGGCAUCCUCAUGGCCGUGUGCUCCUUCAUGGGGCUCCCCUGGUAUGUGGCGGCCACUGUCAUCUCCAUCGCCCACAUCGACAGCCUCAAGAUGGAGACGGAGACCAGCGCCCCUGGGGAGCAGCCCCAGUUCCUGGGGGUCAGGGAACAAAGAGUGACCGGCACCAUCGUCUUCAUCCUGACUGGCAUCUCCGUCUUCCUGGCUCCUAUCCUGAAGUACAUCCCCUUGCCAGUGCUGUACGGAGUCUUCCUCUACAUGGGCGUGGCCUCCCUGAAUGGCAUCCAGUUCUGGGAGCGCUGCAAGCUCUUCCUAAUGCCGGCCAAGCACCAGCCGGACCACGCCUUCUUGCGUCAUGUGCCCCUGCGCCGGAUCCACCUGUUCACCUUGGUGCAGAUCCUCUGCCUGGCAGUGCUCUGGAUCCUCAAGUCCACGGUGGCUGCCAUCAUCUUCCCAGUCAUGAUUCUGGGCCUCAUCAUCGUUCGAAGACUUCUGGAUCUCAUCUUCUCCCAGCAUGAUCUGGCCUGGAUUGACAACAUCCUCCCAGAGAAGGAGAAGAAGGAGACAGAUAAGAAGAAGAGAAGGAAAGGGGCCCAUGAGGACGGUGAUGAGGAGUGCAGAUCCUUGAUGAAUUGGCGCAGAAGGCUCGGCUCCAUCAUGGGGGAGGUUAUGAGGACUGGCCUCCAAAGAAUGGAGCAGGCCUUGGAGGAAGACUCUAAUGGGCACCAGUUAGUAGAUUGGACUCCUGGACAGGAGGAAGGACUGGGAACAAGGUUUGCUUGGCCUGCCCUUGGGGUAUUAAGGAAGAAGGCAGGGGAGAGGAAUAUGUCCUCCCUGAAAGGAGAGUGGCUAUAUCCCCCCAGAUGUUAGGGAUGACAUGCUUGCCCCAUCUACCCUUCUUCUCUUAUGCUUCCUCCCCAUCCCACCCCCAAAACACUCAGGGAGUCAACAGGCAGGAAGCCAGUCCAGAACUUAAAAUAAAUUACAAAAUAUUAAGCAGAAAGAUCUAGUUCAAAUGUUCAUUACAGAUGAUCAAACAGUCCUCCAAAAGGGAAGUGGUUCACCCAAGAUGGACAUAUGGCUAAAUGUCUAAAAGGGAAUUAAGAGAAGCAUUGCUGACUUUGAAUCUGAUCAUUCUCAAUAUACUAAGCUGCCCUUGCCAUCUAACAACAUGCCUGGCUCCCAUUUUCCUGGUCUGACCUGAACCCACAUCCCUGUAUCCACCCUGAACUGUUCUAGUUGAUUGUGCCUUUUGCAGAUAAAAGCUGUUUAUAGGCAAAUCCUUGCUGAUUGGUGGCAAUCAGACCAUCUUCUGAUGGUAGGGAUAGACCAAACCUCCCCUAGUCCUUAAUUGCUUUCCUCUUCCAGGUAGGAAGAGGACCAUCACUCAUUCACAUGUUUUUCAUUAAUAAUUUAGAUGGUUUGCAAAGACAGGCCUUGAGAACAAAGAAACUGAGAGUCUGCCUUUUAAAGAGAAAUACUUAUUCUUUCAUUGAUUUAUUCAAUAAAUAUUUGAGUGGCUACCAUGUGCCAAGAACUAUUCCAGGGAUGGGGAAAAGCAUGAUAUAUUCAGUGGGAAAAUGGGAUUCAAUUUUGCGCAAAUUCAUUUUACACACGUCUUUACAGCAACACCAGCUAUUGUGUGAGAUUCAUUCCCAAGAGAUUGGUUACUAGGACAUUUGAAACUGUUCUGAUCAAGAAUGUUCCUGGAAGAGUUCUGUCUUGGACAGCAGGCUAACUGUGAUUGUCCCUCAGUGAGUCCCAGAGUAUUUGCAGCAGCCCCUAACUGUUUAGACUUGAUAUAGAGAGGAUGGUGGUUGGCACAUCGUGGAUAUGUGUAUUUUCCAUCUUGGCAAAAAAGUCAAAGCUGUUGUAUUGGUGUUUAUCAGCUUUUCCCACUGUUUCUCUCCAGCCCCAGUUCCCUCCUCCCUCAGUUAUAAAGAUUCCCAUGGAAAGUGUCCAAUCAGACCCCCAAAAUGGUAUCCACUGCAUUGCCAGUAAGUAAAACACAUGGUGUCUCUCCCUUCCUACUUACUACUAAUUCUCCACCUCUUCCUCCAAGGAACUUCCAUCUUAAACUCAGGGGAACCUAAUGGUCUUAGAUGCUAGAGGACUCCUGAGGUAGGCAGACUUCAGUGAGAACUGGGCCACAAGGAUUCAGAUUUCAACUGAUGGAAUCCCCAAAUCAAACCCUGCAGAUGCCAGUGAUCAAGCUUCACUUCCAUUUAGGCAAAGCCCCUCAUUCCUUCCUUGCCCCUGGUGCCUCCUGAUGCCUGUGGCACACCACCUGGCCCUCUCUUGAAUUGUUUCAGACCACAUUGAUGCAAACAUGACACACUGAGCCUCCCAUGCUUUCCAGGGGUGGUUGAAAAUGUUUGAGGGUUCAAAUCCAAGCUGAGUUGUCCCCUUUAGAGACACAGGUAGCACAGCAUUUGGAUCAUAAAUUAGUCAGAAGGGAAGGCCUAGUGGUUGGGCUGUGAUUCUGUAUGAAUCACUAGCACAUUCCUCCUGCUGAGAGGGAUCGGGCAUUGCUUAGGAAGAUCCUGGGGGGAUUCUUGGCUGUCUUUACUCCAUCCAGCUUCAGCACCCUAGCAGAGGACAGUCCUGUCAUCAAGACCAUAGCCUAUCCUGGGAGUAAUCAGAAAGAUCCCACCUGAGUCCCAGUGUUCCUAAUACAGGGCUUGCCACUUUCCUAAAAGACCCAGAUUAGGAUCCUGCCAGGGCCCUUGAAGGGCUUCUUCCCAGCACACUGUCCAUCAGAAGUACCUUUUUUUUUUUUUUUUUUUUUUUUUGGUUGCUAACUCUCCUUCCCCCUUCCCAUUUGUACACUGCCAUCAGCCUUUCUCACUCUUCCCUGGCCCUGUCCAUGCCCCACUCCCACCUAACCCAGCUAAGAGCCCUCUGGUGAAGGACUAACUGAACCGGAAGCCAUCCCUGUGAGUCCCUGAUGUCCUCUUGUGUAGUGUUGGCCGUGGGGAUUAGAGAACAGGAAGAAGAGGAAAGCACUGGAGAAAAGUCUUCUCCAGUAUCAUCCUCAAACCUGCUCUACAACUGACAUUUUAAUUUUCCUGCCAGGAAAAAGAUCUUCCAGUUGGAGUUACUCAUUCUGAUUCUUCCUUCAGUGACUCAGAACUCGACCGAAGCAUCACACUGCACUUCAGAAUUUCCUGUCCGGCUUCACCUGCUUUCAACUACUCACAAAGCCCAGUGUUCAUGGUGCCACAGGUGAAGAUAGAAAUGGAGUCAGACUGUGACUUCACAGACGUGGACAGAUAUGGAAGAGAAACGGAUGGCGAGACCACCCUCUGAUGCAGCUGGCCCCGGACCCAGCUUCCUCUUUGUGGGGGAGGACAUGGCUGCAUCUCACUGUGAGGUCUGGGCCAUCUCCCUGAACUCCUCUGAGCCGCUUUCCUUAUUUGCCAAACAGACGGAGUCAUUCCACUUGAUAGAAAACUGAUCUGUGUGGAUGAAAUGUACUACUUACAUGCAGAGCUGUCUCCUUUCCGGAGUUUGGAAAAUAGAAAUAUUUUACUAACAGAAACGUUAUACCUUAUUUUAAAAUGCAGUCCAGGAUAGAAAUUCUGUUUCUUGAAAUGAAAACAAUGCUUGCCUCCCAAAACAUAGCUAAGAUAAAGGAGGCAAUAGUAAAUUUUUAUUGAAAUAAAUAUCAGUUAGAUUUUUCUUUAAAAGCUUAGAUUUUAAAGUAUCUAGUCUUGAAAAAAACCAUUAAAAUGCGCAUACUUCAGUAGACAAAAGCUGGAGAAUUUGUUUUGCAACUUGACAUGGUAAAAAAUGCUUACAAGGCCCUGUCUUCUCUUCCCGUGUUGUGCAGUUUUCCAAGGCUCCCAUGUCAAGUCUGCGCCAUCUGCGGGCGCUGUGGGCCCUGUGCCAGCACAGAAGCAUGACUGGAGCUUCCCCAGACUGAAAAGCCAGUUCCCAAAGUCUGCUAGUGAAAGAACCAACACAUGAGAGUGGGCAAAUGUUUUCAAAAUAAAAUUGUUCUUGCUAAAAUGAAACUUCAAGCACAUUACAUCAACAAACUGAUCUCUUAAUAUCACUGGUUUUUCACAUCUUUCACAGAGUAAGACUUCUUUCUACCUUUGGAUAGGUCCUUCUUCUAAGUUUUCAAUGGUCUUGCUCCCAAAGUCAAACUCCCAUCCACAUGACCCCUGCAUGUUAGGCAGAGCUAAUGUAAAAUAUCAGAUUAUAACUUUGUAGUAUUAGAUUAGUUCUUUAAAGGAAUGAUUGGAAGCAAGCCGGGUAGAUUAAUGACUUAAUAAAGAGGCAAACUCUGUUCUCAUGAAACUUAAUAUCAGUCUAUCUUCUAUCCCCACUGAAUGCCAACUUUGUUUGUUUAACACCUACUCUGUGUCUGACAGCCACAACGCAUCUGACAUUUACUUUGUCUCCGGAACAACUAUGGAUUUGAAUCUUGAGUAAAUCACUUUGGUUAGUUACUAUAUUUACUCAAAAUGACCAAUGUAGGUGCUUUUUUCUUUAUUCUUUACUAAUUUUUAAAGACAAAUGACAUGAGAUCAUUAACACUUUGGGUACUAGGACACCUAAUUGCCUCUGCGAUUCUCAGUGCUUCAUACAGUGCCUGGUGCAUAGAAAACUCUCGUAAGUGUUUAUUAAAUUCAAUUUCAGGGCUCCCUUCCAAGGGAUACUGCCAAGAGGUAAAGCUCUAAACCUCUCCCACCUGUACUGAUCGCAACAAAAGGACUUAGCUACUCAACUAAUCCAGAACCAUCACCUGAACUUAAAUAUAAAUUCUGUAUCUUUGGCUAUACCAAUCCUGGGAAAUCUAACAAUCUACCCUUAACAUUUCAGGUGUAGAACUUGGCUGAUUUUCAAUAGCACUUUGUCCAAAUUAAAUGGUAGGAACAUUAUGGAUUCUGGAGUAAAUGUGCUUGAUUAAUCAAACAAGUUGGAAACUCUGAUGUUAAUUUUUUGUUGUUAUAAAUUGAUCACUAAUUUUCACCCGAUAUGUCACAUUUUGUGUAUACGUGAACAUUUUAAUUUUGACAGCUUUUAACAAGUUGACCUAUUGUUACUUCUCCAUGAAGUAAGGUCAGACCUUCUUUCUACUUGUAACUAUAACUUGAUAAAACUUAAUCCUGUCUGCUCAUCUUGCUCCAUGUUUAAUAAUUUUGGUUAAGUCAGCAAACGUGGCAUAUGGACAUGAGCUAGUCUCACUUACAAAAACAUCACCAGCAAACUAUCAUCUUCUUUCAUCUUCAGUAAACUAUCAAAAGGCAGCUGGUAGAACAAGGAGGAAAUCUACUCCCCAUUGUUUUUUCUACCUCAUGCUGCCUGGAGCAGGAACAGAGGAUCUGUCUGCCUGGAAGCCAAAUUGCUCAACCCUGGUAGAGAAUCGAGAAUACACAGGGACCUAUCCCAGCCUCAAAAUGUGCACAGCAAAUACCUUCCAAUCUGUCAAAUCAAACACACACACAUUGAAAAAAUAACUAUAUAGAGAGAAGGGAGCGGGGAGCCUGAUGUGGGGGUGUCAGCAAGCACAUCAAGAAGUCCUUUGUAAAUCCAACAAUGUGUAAAUUGAACUGCAUGGUUUAGAGAACACCUAGAAUAAACCUAAGAAAUUUAAAUGAAUCUUACAGAUUAAGCUUCUGGCUUGGCACAGCCUAUUAGGACGUCACAUUGAAAGGACUGGGCUGGUUUCUCCACAGCACUUUGCAUCAGUCUGUUUAAGGCACAGGAUUAGUUAGGUAUUACCAAAUACAGGAAUAUCGACAUCAAUUACAUCCAAUGAGAAAGAUUAACUGUAAUUAGGUCUCAACU